AUCUGUGAGACUGAGAAGCUGUGGCCUUUAAUCUGUUUUACAGUACUUAACUUGUGCCAAAAGCUUUACAUUAUUUGCUAAAUGUAGCUGGACAUGAGAACCUUCUGCCUAAAGCAACAAAAUGGCAGUCAUGUCAUAGCCCAGUUGUAGCCAGGAGGUGGCAACCUAGAGACCUCAAGCCAGAGAAUCUUGAUCUAUUACCCCCUUGGCCAAGGGGUCAGGUAUAACUUAGUGCACACUGACACUUGUUUCCUUGGAGGAGGACAAUUACCCUGUGCAUUGAUCCACUAUCGAUGACUUGUGGAAUUGUGAACAUUAUUUUAACAGACCCGGGUCAAAAUUUAUUUUGAGUGCACUCGUAAUUGAACUGAACAUUCAUUAUUUUGAUACUUUGUAAUUUUUUUACUUUCGUACAGGGGAUCCCACUUUUCACUUCACUACAAUUGUGAUACAUAAUUGUUACUGUAUUUGUGCUAUUUACCUUGUUACGCAUCGCAUUCAAUACAUGCAGUUAAACUUUCUUCUGUGCCUUGUGUUGUUCUUUCACUGUGGUAAUCCAAUCUUUUGGCUUCAGCGAGCAAACCUAUAAUCUUCUGACCUGGCCCAAUUCCAAACAUCUAGAUACCUUGAAUAUUUAUAACUAUCAGGCAAAUUUGGUGGUUAUCCAUAUAGAAGUGGCCAGCCAUUGAGUAGCUG